AGCGAGCACGAUCUCUGUGGUGAGAUAAAGCUCCUCUCUCUCCGCCCGCUCUGCAUUCCUUCACACCAGGGGGCCCGCGUCGAGAUGAAAAGAAGCAGCGCUGGGAUUCUGCUCAAGGGGGUGAAACAGAUUUGUGUGGACGGAAGCAGCCAGCCUACCAGCGCAGAGUCUCUGAUCCCGUUACGUCCGUUCACCCGAGGGAGGUCCCUUCACCCCGCCGCCCUCCCCGAGGCCUCCACACCUGGGAGGAGCCGUCCCGCCCACCCUGCCGACACAGGUCGCGCCCCCCGACGGGCAGAUCAGCAGGACACUCCCGCCCGUACCUCUCGUGCCUGUCAGACUGAAGGCGUCUACUACAGCAGCGAUAGCGGCGACGAUUCCCACGGGCUCCCGGGCCCGCGUCGCUUGACCGCCGACAGAAGCAGCAACGAAGAAGCGGCGGCUCCCACCUUCGGCAGUGGGCAGUGCCCCUGCGGAGCUUCCGGGCCUCGGCAGAAGCCCGCUACGUGCUAUAGCUCCUUCUGCGACCUAGACCUCCCUUGUCGGCCCCUCCAGCCCGAGGCCUGCGAUGCGGCCCUACCCGAGCCUUCGCCUGUGGCUGCCCAAACAGAUGUCUCCCUCGCUCUACCAACGCCGACGCCCAAUAUCAAACCCUUCCAACCUUUUGAGGUGAGCUCGGGCCGUAAGUGGGAUCCCCAAGCUCUUGAACGAGAAUGCGACCGUCGACUGCUUGCUACCGACCAAAUGGCUUCGGUGUUUCCUGCUGGCGCCCCUGCCGUGGUUCCUCCCGUAUCCAUGUCAGCUCUGGCUUUGGCAAUGAUCCCCGACGACCAAGUGGUGCCCUUUCCCCUCAACCCCCUCGCCCAGUUCCAUGUUCCCGCGGCGUUCAGCACAGCCGCCCCCGCCCCCGCCUUCUUCCCCCCCGUCUGGUGCCGGGUGAAGGCUCCGAUCCAGGGCAGGGCACCAACACCGCGGGCGAGGCUGUCGUCCAAGGUUCCAGCUCCGCGUCAGCAGGGCGCCUACGACCUACUGGCUGACUUCCCCGUACUCCGGCCCCAUAACGUCAAGCGAGGCGUGGGCCCGGCGGCCCAGGUCUGGGGCGCAGACGGGAGGAGGAGGGGCCUGGCGGCGGUGCCGCAGGAUAACCUCAACCAGCAGCCCGGUGGGGACGGAGACAGAGAGCAGGGCAAGGAGCACAGCCAGCCCCUGGUCCCCAGGCCCGUGUGUGAAGGAGGUCAGGGGUUCACGCUGGCCCUGGCUCCCCCACCUCUAGCCAAGCCAGGCCUGAGCAACCUUCCUGUGGCCAAUUGCGGAGGGGCAGUCCACACACAGCCGAUUACAGAGACCGACGCAAGUGUAGGCGUAGACAUGACCAGCACCCGCGUCGACCUCGCCAGCCAUGCAGCUGCCACGCCGGAGAAAGCCGGGGGCAGCGAUACCCAGCGCACGACGGACGCCGGCGGCAAUGUCAAGGGCGAGUCUCCGGCUGCAAAGAAGAAUGCUGCUUGCCAGGCCACACCUCCCUCUAUGGUAGCCAAUCCGUCGAGAGCUCCAUGCCCCCAUGCCGUUCUCCAGCCAAUGAGAUUGGACUUUACCCCCCCAACCCAGGUACCUUUUAUUUCCCCACACUUUUUGCUGUUCGAGUUUAGUUUAAAUUCACCGUUGAGUCGCAUGUUUUCCAGCACCUAUAGGCUAAAUUGUCUGAAUGCAAUUCCAGGUACUUUCUGACCCGUCUUUGAUUCUAUCCACCUCUCUCAUUUUAUCUUUGUCCAUACGUCUCUCUCUGUACAUCUCACUAUGUGCCGGUCUAUCUCUAUAUUUUCCCUCUCUCUAUCUGCCAUUAUGCAGCUCUUUGUCUCUAUAUCACUGUUUCUAUGUCUCACCCUCAAUCUCCCUCUCCAUCUGUCUAUGUUUUGCUGUCCUUAUUUCUCCCGGUCUUUCUGUCAUUAUGUCUACGUCUUUGUAUGUCUCUCUGUGCCACCCUCUACAAAGCCCCAUCUGUGUGUAUUAUAUAUAUAUUAGAGCUGUCAAGCGAUUAAAAUAUUUAAUCGUGAUUAAUCGCAUUAAUGUCAUAGUUAACUCUAAUUAAUCGCGAUUAAUCGCAAAUUAUUUUUCUAUGCUAAAUAUCCCUUGAUUUUUUUGUCCCAUAAUUCUUCUCAUUUUAAUUCUCUUAUCAACAUGGUGAAGUGCAUCGGCUUGCCUUGUGCAAAUGAUUUUUUAUUGAUAACAACAUUGGCAUAUACACUGAUCAAAACAGGACGAUACAAAAAAAGAGCCUAUAGUGCAAUUAAACGACUGCUUUGAACAAAUGUCAUUUGAACAUAGCAGUCAGGCUACUGCUUCUUUGUUUUGAGCCAAAGAAAAAAAAAAAAAAAAAAGUUUUUUUUUUUUAUGAAGUAAUUGCGUUAAUCGCGCGAUAAAAAUUUUAACGCCGUUAAAUUUGGUUUGCGUUAACGCCGUUAAUAACGCGUUUAACUGACAGCUCUAAUAUAUAUAUAUAUAUAUAUAUAUAUAUAUAUAUAAAAAUAGUGUGGCUGCAUUCUUCCUUUUUUCUUUUCUUUUGAGCAGCCGAGUAAUUUAUGCAUUUUAUUAUUAUUUUAUUUUGACCUCAUGCAUGAGGGUGAGUUCAGAGAUGCACCCCCCCCCCCCCCCCCCCCCCCCCCCCCCCCCCGACCACCAUCAUCCUGGGACACCCCCCCCCCCCUGACCCUCCCUUACAGCCCAGCAGGGUAAUUACUGCAGGUGAAAUGCAAAUCCCUCCCGGGUGGAGGAUGAGGUGUAAGACCCUCCCGAAGGCCAGACAGGAAAUGAGAUGGAAAGGGCAGCGAGAGUGAGAGUGAGAGUGGGCGAGAGAGGGAGAGAGAGGCAGAGAAAGAGAGACGGAGAAAGGAGAAGGAGGAGGAUUAAAAGGUGUGUGGGUGAGGGAGGUAGGCAUUAUAAAAGUUGUAUUUUUGGCUUUGGAACAGCUGAUGCAUGCAGGGAGGCAAGUGAAUGUUUAUAGAGGUUGUGAGGGAAAAAAAAAAGGAAAAGAAAUCACGAGAACACUGAUGCAUUUUAAUAUCGCGUGCACGCACUCGCAAAUGCAAAUGUGAGUGCGCGCACACACACACACACACACACACACACACACACACACACACACACACACACACACACACACACACACACACACACACACACACACACACACACACACAGCAGUGAAACAGAACAAACCACAAGUUGUUAUUUUUCCGUUUCAAUGACCACACCCUAAAUAUUCUGCCGUAUAAAAUGUUACGAGAGGCAGGAAACGGAGAACUGGGGAGAGAUGAAAAUGGAGAUUCUCCCGAAACAAAGCCAACCAACAACAACAAAGAUAUACAAAUCAGAUAGAGCGUCUAUCCUGGGGGAGCCUUUGCAGUCACCGGUGGUUUCCCUUAGAAAAAAAACGCAAUUCCGCAACCAAAGUAAAAUAAAACUUUUAAAUUCAACUGCUCUUCCCUCCUCCAGUUCCCUCAUCUAUUUUUAACCCUGUCAUCCACCCACAUCUCUACUCAUCCAUUAAAUCAUCAUCUCAUUAGUUUUAAAUUAUUGUACUUAUUUUCCAGUGUCCAUCAGUGGACUUGGCAACCAGGCGUUCCUUGGCAGAUGGCAGCCAGUCAUUGUCAAGCUAUAAGGAAAAAGCAUUAUCAAAAAUAGAGGAUUGUGAACUAUGGUAUGAGGCAUGAGUUUGUCUCAAACGCAUUAUCCAUUAGUCAUACCAGGCGUGAGACAGUGGGUAACCAGGACGGAAGGAAGUGAGGGGGAGACAGAGAGCAAGAGAGAGAGAGGGAUAUCGAGAGACACAGACAGUGACAGACUGAAAAAGAGAAAGACACGUACAGUGAAGGAGAAAAAGAGAGAGGGACAAAGAGAGAGAGGUGGGCAUAUGAGUAGGCAAAGUGGGUGUGAUAUGUGUAUGGAAAUGGGGAAAAGUGAAGUUGUGCAUACGGUGUGUGUGUGUGUGUGUGUGUGUGUGUGUGUGUGUGUGUGUGUGUGUGUGUGUGUGUGUGUGUGUGUGUGUGUGUGUGUGUGUCAAAAAAGAGACUCCAAGUGGGAGUCAUAGAGCUCUCAAGCCUUUGUGAGUGUGACUGGCAGAUAUGCGGUGCACCAAAGUUUUCCCUCUUGCAGUAUACACUCUCUCCAGCUAAUAACCAUGUUGUUUAGCUGUUGCUAGGCUACAGAGGUUGGUUGUUGUCCUGUGGCAAUUUGGCUGUUUUUUCCCCCCGAUUUUGUGUGUGUGUGUGUGUGUGUGUGUGUGUGUGUGUGUGUGUGUGUGUGUGUGUGUGUGUGUGUGUGUGUGUGUGUGUGUGUGUGUGUGUGUGUGUGUGUGUGUAUUGUUCCUGA
rnacentral:lncRNA from 1 species